AACGAACGCUGGCGGCAUGCCUAACACAUGCAAGUCGAACGAAACCUUCGGGUCUAGUGGCGCACGGGUGCGUAACGCGUGGGAACCUGCCCUUAGGUUCGGCAUAACUCCCCGAAAGGGGUGCUAAUACCGGAUAAUGUCUUCGGCCCAAAGAUUUAUCGCCUUAGGAUGGGCCCGCGUUGGAUUAGCUAGUUGGUAGGGUAAAAGCAUACCACGGCGACGAUCCAUAGCUGGUCUGAGAGGAUGAUCAGCCACACUGGGACUAAGACACGGCCGAGAAUCCUACGGGAGGCAGCAGUGGGGAAUAUUGGACAAUGGGGGAAAGCCUGAUCCAGCAAUGACGCGUGAGUGAUGAAGGCAUUAGGGUUGUAAAGCUCUUUUACCCGGGAUGAUAAUGACAGUACCGGGAGAAUAAGCUCCGGCUAACUCCGUG
rnacentral:rRNA from 1 species